AGAGUUUGAUCCUGGCUCAAGACGAACGCUGGCGGCGUGCUUUACACAUGCAAGUCGAGCGAUGAGAUCCCUUCGGGGAAGGAUUAGCGGCGAACGGGUGAGGAACACGUGAGGAAUCUGCCUUCAACACUGGGAUAACUCCGGGAAACCGGGGCUAAUACCGGAUACGAGACCUGCAGGCAUCUGCGGGUCUGGAAAGUUUUUCGGUUGAAGAUGACCUAUCGGCCUAUCAGCUUGUUGGUGAGGUAAUGGCUCACCAAGGCGACGACGGGUAGCCGGCCUGAGAGGGCGACCGGCCACACUGGGACUGAGACACGGCCCAGACUCCUACGGGAGGCAGCAGUGGGGAAUAUUGGGCAAUGGAGGGAACUCUGACCCAGCGACGCCGCGUGCGGGAUGAAGGCCUUCGGGUUGUAAACCGCUUUCAGCAAGGAAGAAGCGAAAGUGACGGUACUUGCAGAAGAAGCACCGGCUAACUAUGUGCCAGCAGCCGCGGUAAUACAUAGGGUGCAAGCGUUGUCCGGAAUUAUUGGGCGUAAGAGCUCGUAGGUGGUUCGUC
rnacentral:rRNA from 1 species